CCAGAUCACAGUAUUAAUAGCAGUACUAUAUUUGUAGAUCACAGUAUCAAUAGCAGUAUUAUCAUUCCAGAUCACAGUAUCAAUAGCAGUAUUAUCAUUGUAGAUCACAGUAUUAAUAGCAGUAUUAUCAUUGUAGAUCACAGUAUUAAUAGCAGUAUUAUCAUUGUAGAUCCAGUAUUAAUAGCAGUAUUAUCAUUGUCAGAUCACAGUAUCAAGUAGCACUAUUAUCAUUGUAGAUCACAGUAUCAAUAGCAGUAUUAUCAUUGUAGAUCACAGUAUUAAUAGCAGUAUUAUCAUUGUAGAUCACAGUAUCAAUAGCAGUUUAUCAUUGUAGGAUCACAGUCAUUUAAUAGCAGUAUUCAGUCAAAUAUAGUAAUAGCAGUCACCCCACCACCUGUUGAAUAAAACAGCAGUCACCCACCACCUGUUGAAUAAACAGCAGUCACCCCCCCACCUGUUGAAUAAACCGCAGUUCACCCCUCCACUGUUGAAUCAAACAGCAGUCACCCCUACACCUGUUGAAUAAA
rnacentral:lncRNA from 1 species